rnacentral:rRNA from 1 species
AAAUUGAAGAGUUUGAUCAUGGCUCAGAUUGAACGCUGGCGGCAGGCCUAACACAUGCAAGUCGAGCGGUAGCACAGAGAGCUUGCUCUCGGGUGACGAGCGGCGGACGGGUGAGUAAUGUCUGGGAAACUGCCUGAUGGAGGGGGAUAACUACUGGAAACGGUAGCUAAUACCGCAUAAUGUCGCAAGACCAAAGUGGGGGACCUUCGGGCCUCAUGCCAUCAGAUGUGCCCAGAUGGGAUUAGCUAGUAGGUGGGGUAAUGGCUCACCUAGGCGACGAUCCCUAGCUGGUCUGAGAGGAUGACCAGCCACACUGGAACUGAGACACGGUCCAGACUCCUACGGGAGGCAGCAGUGGGGAAUAUUGCACAAUGGGCGCAAGCCUGAUGCAGCCAUGCCGCGUGUGUGAAGAAGGCCUUCGGGUUGUAAAGCACUUUCAGCGGGGAGGAAGGCGGUGAGGUUAAUAACCUCACCGAUUGACGUUACCCGCAGAAGAAGCACCGGCUAACUCCGUGCCAGCAGCCGCGGUAAUACGGAGGGUGCAAGCGUUAAUCGGAAUUACUGGGCGUAAAGCGCACGCAGGCGGUCUGUCAAGUCGGAUGUGAAAUCCCCGGGCUCAACCUGGGAACUGCAUUCGAAACUGGCAGGCUAGAGUCUUGUAGAGGGGGGUAGAAUUCCAGGUGUAGCGGUGAAAUGCGUAGAGAUCUGGAGGAAUACCGGUGGCGAAGGCGGCCCCCUGGACAAAGACUGACGCUCAGGUGCGAAAGCGUGGGGAGCAAACAGGAUUAGAUACCCUGGUAGUCCACGCCGUAAACGAUGUCGAUUUGGAGGUUGUGCCCUUGAGGCGUGGCUUCCGGAGCUAACGCGUUAAAUCGACCGCCUGGGGAGUACGGCCGCAAGGUUAAAACUCAAAUGAAUUGACGGGGGCCCGCACAAGCGGUGGAGCAUGUGGUUUAAUUCGAUGCAACGCGAAGAACCUUACCUGGUCUUGACAUCCACAGAACUUAGCAGAGAUGCUUUGGUGCCUUCGGGAACUGUGAGACAGGUGCUGCAUGGCUGUCGUCAGCUCGUGUUGUGAAAUGUUGGGUUAAGUCCCGCAACGAGCGCAACCCUUAUCCUUUGUUGCCAGCGGUUAGGCCGGGAACUCAAAGGAGACUGCCAGUGAUAAACUGGAGGAAGGUGGGGAUGACGUCAAGUCAUCAUGGCCCUUACGACCAGGGCUACACACGUGCUACAAUGGCAUAUACAAAGAGAAGCGACCUCGCGAGAGCAAGCGGACCUCAUAAAGUAUGUCGUAGUCCGGAUUGGAGUCUGCAACUCGACUCCAUGAAGUCGGAAUCGCUAGUAAUCGUAGAUCAGAAUGCUACGGUGAAUACGUUCCCGGGCCUUGUACACACCGCCCGUCACACCAUGGGAGUGGGUUGCAAAAGAAGUAGGUAGCUUAACCUUCGGGAGGGCGCUUACCACUUUGUGAUUCAUGACUGGGGUGAAGUCGUAACAAGGUAACCGUAGGGGAACCUGCGGUUGGAUCACCUCCUUACCUUAAAGAA